UACAGAGGGUGCAAGCGUUGUUCGGAAUUAUUGGGCGUAAAGCGCGUGUAGGCGGCCAGGUAGGUCGGUUGUGAAAACUGGAGGCUCAACCUUCAGAGGUCGACCGAAACCAUCUGGCUAGAGUCCGGGAGAGGAGAGUGGAAUUCCUGGUGUAGCGGUGAAAUGCGCAGAUAUCAGGAAGAACACCCGUGGCGAAAGCGGCUCUCUGGAACGGUACUGACGCUGAGACGCGAAAGCGUGGGGAGCGAACAGG
rnacentral:rRNA from 1 species